UGGGGAAUAUUGGACAAUGGGCGAAAGCCUGAUCCAGCCAUGCCGCGUGUGUGAAGAAGGUCUUCGGAUUGUAAAGCACUUUAAGUUGGGAGGAAGGGUUGUAGAUUAAUACUCUGCAAUUUUGACGUUACCGACAGAAUAAGCACCGGCUAACUCUGUGCCAGCAGCCGCGGUAAUACAGAGGGUGCAAGCGUUAAUCGGAAUUACUGGGCGUAAAGCGCGCGUAGGUGGUUUGUUAAGUUGGAUGUGAAAUCCCCGGGCUCAACCUGGGAACUGCAUCCAAAACUGGCAAGCUAGAGUAUGGUAGAGGGUGGUGGAAUUUCCUGUGUAGCGGUGAAAUGCGUAGAUAUAGGAAGGAACACCAGUGGCGAAGGCGACCACCUGGACUGAUACUGACACUGAGGUGCGAAAGCGUGGGGAGCAAACAGGAUUAGAUACCCCCGUAGUCC
rnacentral:rRNA from 1 species